CUAUAGCCCCGACGUGGUUAACCAAAGGAAGAAAUACGCGGCGGUGAUGUCGGAGCUUUAUAAAAUGGGACUCAAACCAGCACUGCUGUUCCCGGCGCGGCUCCGUAUUACCAAGGCGGACGGCACCCGCACCGCGUUCAGCUCUGUGGCAGAAGCGGAGAAGUUUGCUGAGGACUCUAAAAACUCAUGACUGAUCUGCCUAUUCCAACUUUGCCUCCAGAUCAGGUCACGACCUUGGACGCACCAAUGCAGAUGCAGGAGAUUGUGGAGGCCAUCAAAUCAUUACAACCCAGAAAAUCGCCGGGCCCUGAUGGCCUGCCGAAUACUUACAAGUAAGGCACUUUGUGUCUGCCUCCAUCCCGGGGUUCCCUGCCAAACCUCCUGAUAAUGUCAUAGACGAGGUAAUAUCUUUUAACCCAACCAAAAAAAAA